rnacentral:rRNA from 1 species
CCUACGGGAGGCAGCAGUGGGGAAUUUUGGACAAUGGGGGCAACCCUGAUCCAGCCAUGCCGCGUGAGUGAAGAAGGCCUUCGGGUUGUAAAGCUCUUUCAGCCGGGAAGAAAACGCAUGGGUUAAUACCCUGUGUGGAUGACGGUACCGGAAUAAGAAGCACCGGCUAACUACGUGCCAGCAGCCGCGGUAAUACGUAGGGUGCGAGCGUUAAUCGGAAUUACUGGGCGUAAAGCGUGCGCAGGCGGUUUUGUAAGACAGGCGUGAAAUCCCCGGGCUCAACCUGGGAACUGCGUUUGUGACUGCAAGGCUAGAGUAUGGCAGAGGGGGGUGGAAUUCCACGUGUAGCAGUGAAAUGCGUAGAGAUGUGGAGGAACACCGAUGGCGAAGGCAGCCCCCUGGGCCAAUACUGACGCUCAUGCACGAAAGCGUGGGUAGCAAACAGGAUUAGAUACCCGAGUAGUC